CUUAAGUUGUAGAGUCAGGUUAUUAAAUCUACAAAAAUUUUACUGGGAUUUGGAUAAGAAUGCAUUAAACCCAUUGAUCAAUUUAAGAAGAGUUGACAUUUUUAUUAUGUUGAGUCUUUCAUUCUAUGAAUGUUGUAUGUUUCUCCAUUUAUUUAAGGCUUUGUAGAUAUACAGUGUCUGGAGUGUUAGAUUUAUACUGAGGUGUUGCAGUGUUUGAAACUAUUAGGCAAAAAUUGGGCUGAGAUGAUAUUUGUGUGUGUUGCUCUA
rnacentral:lncRNA from 1 species